UGCACUGGUUACAAAGCUAGGUUAGUCUAGAAAUUGACUGCAUUCAAAUCACAGAAAAACAUCCCUCCUUCUGCAGUUGUGGACAACUUAACCAAGAACAAAAGGAUCUAGACUUCACUCUUUCUCGUUGAUCAGCAUCUUUCUAUAGGGCCCAGCCAGCAACUAAAAGGAUUACAUGGAUUUCUAGAUGUUCAUUUUCUUACUCUGUAUCCUCAAACUCCACUCUACUCUGCCACUUCCUUUGGAACUGGUGUGCAUCAGAACUUAGAAAAAGGUGGAGGCAGGCCACUCCCACAGGAUCAACAGAGUCGCUGAGCUAGUGCAGGAUUUAUCUCUGCCUGAGACAGAGCCAGAUUUCUGAUGCUGGCUCAGAGGGCCUGCCUUUAUUUUUAGCAGUUCUAGAAGCACAAGGCAUAAGGCCUAUGGUGAUGAUUUCCUUGCUGGCAGAGUCCAAUGACUAUGGAACCUAAUGGCAAGAGAGAAAGGAAUCUACAUGUGUCUCUCUUUUGAUAUUUUGUUCUUGCAAAGCCAUCAGUAUUCAUCAUACUUCACCUUGAUGACCUCCUCUAAUCUACAUCACCUCCUAAAAGUGUUCUUCCUCUGAACUUCGGUGUGUUUUUCCAGUGUCCAGUGAAUUGGACUACUCUCGAGUUAUAAGAGCGCAGUUCUGCCUCAGAUUGGAAUGAGGCAUGGUGUGGACUGUAGAGCGCUCCUACAAAAUCACCUUAUAAGAGUGCCACUUUGGAGCUCCUCCAGAGCACAAGUAUCCAGAAGAAAUUACACCACAAAUUCAAAUUUGCCUUGGAAAUCUCUUCAAGCAAAUGGCCAAGUCCAUCACUUACAUGGGCAGUUUUCCAUACAACUACAGGACACAGUUCAGGCUGUUCCUCUGGUACCUGGGCCAAAUUGAAUGAACAAUAUCCCUCUAUUUUUUUCAAUGGAAAAUACAGAGAGCUAUGCAGCAUGUUCGAGGAAAGCAAGUAAACAAACAUGACUUCCUGAUUCCCCAAGGACAAAGAUUGUAUUUUAUUCAUCUUGCCAUCCCCAAGGCCUCUUAUAGGAUGCAUCAUAUUCCAGGCAUUUAAUGUAAGAUUCAUGGUGGGAAAUAAAAGGGGGGAGAGAGCUGAAA